GCUUACGGCCAUACCACCCUGAGAACGCCCGAUCUCGUCUGAUCUCGGAAACUAAGCAGGGUCGGGCCUGGUUAGUACUUGGAUGGGAUUCUGCCUGGGAAUACCAGGUGCUGUAAGCU
rnacentral:rRNA from 1 species